AACGAACGCUGGCGGCAUGCCUAACACACGUAAGUCGAACGAGAUCUUCGGAUCUAGUGGCGCACGGGUGCGUAACGCGUGGGAAUCUGCCCUUUGCUUCGGAAUAACAGUGAGAAAUUACUGCUAAUACCGGAUGAUGUCUUCGGACCAAAGAUUUAUCGGCAAGGGAUGAGCCCGCGUAGGAUUAGGUAGUUGGUGGGGUAAUGGCCUACCAAGCCGACGAUCCUUAGCUGGUCUGAGAGGAUGAUCAGCCACACUGGGACUGAGACACGGCCCAGACUCCUACGGGAGGCAGCAGUGGGGAAUAUUGGACAAUGGGCGAAAGCCUGAUCCAGCAAUGCCGCGUGAGUGAUGAAAGCCUUAGGGUUGUAAAGCUCUUUUACCAGGGAUGAUAAUGACAGUACCUGGAGAAUAAGCUCCGGCUAACUCCGUGCCAGCAGCCGCCGUAACAC
rnacentral:rRNA from 1 species